AUUGAACGCUGGCGGCAUGCCUUACACAUGCAAGUCGAACGGCAGCACGGGAGCAAUCCUGGUGGCGAGUGGCGAACGGGUGAGUAAUAUAUCGGGAACGUGCCCAGUCGUGGGGAUAACGUAGCGAAAGCUACGCUAAUACCGCAUACGAUCUAUGGAUGAAAGCGGGGGGAUCGCAAGACCUCGCGCGAUUGGAGCGGCCGAUAUCAGAUUAGGUAGUUGGUGAGGUAAAGGCUCACCAAGCCGACGAUCUGUAGCUGGUCUGAGAGGACGACCAGCCACACUGGGACUGAGACACGGCCCAGACUCCUACGGGAGGCAGCAGUGGGGAAUUUUGGACAAUGGGCGCAAGCCUGAUCCAGCAAUGCCGCGUGCAGGAUGAAGGCCU
rnacentral:rRNA from 1 species